GUCGUUGCCCCCCCCCCAACCCCCUCGGGAGUUGGAUGGGACGGAUGAUGGCCUCCCGUGUGCUCAGUCACGCGGUUGGCAUAAACACCAAGUCCUCGGCGACCAACGCCACGACAAUCGGUGGUUGUCAAACCUCGGUUUCCUGUCGCGCGCGUGUUGAUCGAGUGCUUUCUUAAACAAUGCGUGUCGAUUCGUCGAUGCUUACAAC
rnacentral:misc_RNA from 1 species